CACACUAUGAAAUAAAUCUUGACUGAACUGGAACUUCAAAAUGGUAAAAUUCAAGUCAGAUCAAACAUUACUGAAAGAGUUCUGGCAUGAAACCAACAAUGUCCUGCAAAUGGUUCCACUUAAAAAUUCCAACUCAACACUGACCAAAUUGACA